rnacentral:lncRNA from 1 species
CCGGGCCCGGGCCCGUCCCGUUUCCCUCGGCCGGGGACGUUCCGGUAAGGAACAGCGGAAAGAGGGUAUAGCGAUGGCAACGAGACGGUAACCGAUAAAACGCCGAGAGGUGACCGUGUUCGCCGCCUGGAAAAGCACCACCAACACAAAACACGUGCUGGCCCGCGACGCAGAGGGCGGCCCGCCCGUUUCGGAGUGCAAGUUCAACCAAUGCUGCAACCAGACAGACUGGAUCCUGUGAACUAAGAAGAAACGUCUUCAAAAGAAAUUAUCUUGUUUGGCCAAAGGACCAGCAGUACCUACAAGUUGCUUUCUCGGGCAUAGCCAAAAAGAGGAAAAUGAGCUUUCCUACCUUCUCAGAUCCCAGUUUUCUUCAAUUUUGCAUUAACCCAGUAAGAUGCUUUUCUGAAGCACAGGAAAACGUUUUCAGUCUUUGGAGGUAUCGCAGGAAAAUAAGUGUUUAUGUUUUAUUUAAUUUAGGACUUUUUUUGCUUUUCAUGUGA